GCUUGUCUCAAAGAUUAAGCCAUGCAUGUCUAAGUAUAAACGACUUUAUACUGUGAAACUGCGAAUGGCUCAUUAUAUCAGUUAUAGUUUAUUUGAUGGUCCUUGCUACUUGGAUAACCGUAGUAAUUCUAGAGCUAAUACAUGCACAAAGGCCCGACUCACGAAGGGCUGUAUUUAUUAGAUUUAAAGCCGACAUCUUUUGGUGAUUCAUAAUAACUCGCGGAUCGGUUUACCGAUGCAUCAUUCAAGUUUCUGCCCUAUCAGCUUUGGAUGGUAGGGUAUUGGCCUACCAUGGCUUUAACGGGUAACGGAGAAUUAGGGUUCGAUUCCGGAGAGGGAGCCUGAGAAAUGGCUACCACAUCCAAGGAAGGCAGCAGG
rnacentral:rRNA from 1 species